CGGGAACUCUCCGGGCAGCUGCCGCGCGUGCACACUGCCACCUCGGGGCGGGCGGCGGAGCAUGGAGCCGGUCCAGCCUUGCUGUGUGCGCCAGGGAGGGAGGAGGGCUAGCAGCCCGUGUCUCCCGCCGGGCUCUCCUCCUCCUGGCCACCUUUCUGUUGUCUCUCCUCUUUGCACGCUCGGGAGGGACCGCAUAUGGCGCCCAGCCUCUCUGCCAGUGUCCUGAUCUCCCCUCCUGUGAGUGCCGCUGCUCUUUCCAGACUGCGCCAAGCCCCCUUCGCCCUCGCUCACCCCCGCCGGCUGUCCCGCCCCGGCGCACCUGAGUCUUCAGACACCGUCUGUGCCCUGGCCACAGCUCGUGUUCAUCUCCAGAACGGAUGACUCUCCAAGCGCCAGCCCCGGUCUGGGCUGAAAAUCGGACCUCAUCAUCCCCUCCCAAAACCCUCGGACGUGCCUUUUCUACGGAGGCUGACCAGGCCUGGUCGCGGUGCCCGCAUCUCUGACCACAGCCGCCCGCACGCCCGGGACCAGCCUGUCACCUCUCAGGGGCGGCCAGGCUGCCCCUCGGCACCAGGGACAGAAGCACCGGAGGUGAUCAGGGUCUGAGCCGUCCAUGAGAAGGACUGCAUUUCCCAGCCCCCCUUGUGGCCAUGCAGCCCUGAGCCCUGGCCAAUGAGAGGCGAGCAAAAGCGAGGGGCGCUUCUUCCAGCUUGUGCCCUAAGGGAAAGAAGGACGUUCAGCAUUUGACGAAAUUCAACAUCCUUUCUUGAUAAAAACUCUCAACAAGUUAGGUGAAAUGAUGCUGGCUCGGCGAGCCUAGGAGUCGAAAGAAGGAUUUCUUUGCCUCUCAUGGUCUGGCAGUGGUGCUCUUUUAUUCAGAGACUAGCAUGGAGUAGCAUGGGGACGGGACCCGUGGGCAGUAAGAGCUGCAGGCAUGGGGACGGGACCCGUGGGCAGUAAGAGCUGCAGGCGUGGAGACGGGACCCGUGGGCAGUAAGAGCUGCAGGCAUGGGGACGGGACCCGUGGGCAGUGAAGAGCUGCAGCCUUGGGGACGCGACCCGUGGGCAGUAAGAGCUGCAGCCUUGGGGACGGGACCCGUGGGCAGUAAGAGCUGCAGGCAUGGGGACGGGACCCGUGGGCAGUAAGAGCUGCAGCCUUGGGGACGCGACCCGUGGGCAGUAAGAGCUGCAGGCAUGGGGACGGGACCCGUGGGCAUUCAAGAGCUGCAGGCAUGGGGACGGGACCCGUGGGCAGUGAAGAGCGGCAAUGUGUUGAGGGUUAGACCUAAAUUUAUACGGCAUGGGUGUGUGAGUUAUUUCUUUACAAGACAAAGGAAAGAUGAUGUAAGAGGUAAUUAAAUGGUAUCAGUGCAGGUGGGGUCUGGUUAUUGUGUGGUCAUAUAACUUUAGAUAUGAGUCAGGUCAUAUAGAUCGGCAUGUAGGCCAGGACACCUUGGGCUUCUCCCCCUGGCGCAGCCUUGAUCCACAUCAAUAGGACCGUUCUCAGCAUAAUAAACGCCAUAUAGGACAAGCCCACAGCUAACAUCAUAUUCAAUGGUGAAAAGGUGAAAGCUUUUCUUCUAAGAUCAGGAACAAGACAAGGAUGCCCACUCUCGCCAUUUCUAUUCAACACGGUGCUAGAAGUCCUAGCCAGAGCAUUAGGCAAGAAAAAGAAGGAAAAGGCAUCCAAAUCAGAAAAGAAGAAGUAAAAUUUUCUCUAUUUGCAGAGGACAUGAUAUAGAAAACCCUAAAGACUCUGCCGAAAAAACUGCUGGGACUAAUAAAUGAAUUCAGUAAAGUGGCAGGACACAAAAUCAACACACAGCAAUCAGGUGCAUUUCUACACACUAACAAUGAACUGUCUGCAAGAGCGAUCCAGUGGGCGCCCCAUCCAACAACAGCAGGACACACAUCCUUCUCAAGUGCCUAAAAACAUUCUCCAGGAUAGAUCAUAGUUAGGCAAUCAAGUAAGUCUUAAGAAGUUUAAAAGAACUGAAAUCAUACAAAGUAUGUUCUCUGACCACAAUGGAAUGAAAUUAGAAAUCAUUAACAGAAGGAAAUCUGAGGAAUUCACAACUAUGUGGACAUUAAGUAGCAUACUCCUAAAUAACCAAGACGUCAAAGAAGAAAUCACAGGGGAAAUCAGAAAAUAUUUUGAGAUGAAUGAAAACAAAAACACGGCAUACCAAAACUUAUGCAACCAACACAGUGCUUAGAUAGAAAUGUGAAUGUGUAAACAGCUACAUUGGGAAAGAAAGAUCUCAACUCAAUAACCUAACCUUACAUCUUAAGCUACCAGAAGACGAAGAGCAAACUAAACCAAACACAAUCAAAAGGAAGGAAAUAGUAAAGAUUAAUGCCAAAAUAAAUGAAAUAUAGAGAGGAAAUUUUUAAAAAGUCAAUUCUGUGAAACAAUCAACAAAAUUGACAAAUCUUUAGAUAGACCAGCCCCCCCCCAAAAGACUCAAAUUAUUAAAAUCAUGAAUAAAAGAAGGGCCACUAUUAUGAACUUUUCAGAAAUAAAAAUGAUUAUAACACGAAAAAAAGAAGGCAAUCUCAUGUACAGUAGCAUCAAAAAACAAUAAAAUAUUUAGGAGUAAAUUUAACCAAGGAGGUGAAAGACCUGUACACUGAAAACUAUAAGUCAUUGAUGAAAGAGAGUGAAGAAGACACAAAUAAAUGGAAUGAUAUCCGAUCUUCUCAGGUGGUAAGAAUUAAUAUAGUGAGAAUGUCCACACUACUCAAAGAAACCUACAGAUUCAAUGCAAUCGCUAUCAAAAUUCCAAUGGGAUUUUUCACAGACAAAGAAAAAACUAUCCUAAAAUUUGCAUGGAACCACAAAAGACCCUGAAUAGCCAAAGCAAUUCUACGACAGAAGAAUAAAGCUGGGGGCAUCACACUUCCUGAUUUCAAGCUAUGUUGCAAAGCUGUAGUAAUCAAAAUUGUAUGUUAUUGGCAUAAAAAUAGGCACAUAGGUCAGUGGAAGAGAAUAGAGAGCAAAUGAUAUGAUUGUCUAUGUGGGUUUUUUAAAAUAGAUAUUCUUUAUCAAGUUGAGGAGGUUCUCCUCCAUUCCUGUUUACUGAGAGACUUUAUCAUGAAUGGAUUUUGGAUUCUCUCAAAUGCUAUUUCUGCAUCUGUUGACAUUGUUGACCUUAAACAAAUGGCCAGUUAUCUCUCCAGCAAAAAUGGGCUUAUUUAGGAUCAACAAAGAAUUGCAAUUUGAGAUCUGCAACCAUGGUGAGCUGCAUGCAAAGUCCGAGGGACAAGGGGAGGAGAAACUCUUUUACAGAGUGGGAGAGGAAAUUGGGAGGGCCAUUGUAAAGAAAGAGUCCAUUGGAGGAAUUGAGAGUUCGAAGGACUGUGGCUUGUCAUGGGCUGAGUUCUGACAGUCUCUCAUUGGCUGAGCUCUUGCCUGGCAAGAGGGGAGUCUUUCUUCGUCCUGUUUGGCUCUGCCAUCAUCAUAGGCCAUGACAGCUCCCCUUCUGGCCUCCCAACUCCAUUUUAAAUGAGGUGUCUGAUGAUUAAUUUUCACAAUAUGAUCAUGUGAUUUUUUCUCUUUACCCUGUUGAUGUGAUGGAUUACAUCAAUUGAUUUUUUAAUGUUCCACCAGCCUUACAUACCUGGGGUAAACCCCAGGCUGUGAUGUGUAAUUAUUUUUAUACAUUGUUGGAUUUGAUUUGCUAAUAUUUUGUAGAGGAUUUUUGCAUUUUUGCACCUAUGUUCACAAGAGAUAUUGGUCUGUAGUUUUCUUUUCUUGUAAGGUCUUUGGUUUUGGUGUUAGGAUAACGCUGGCCUUGUAGAAUGAGCUAGGAAGUGUUAACUUUGCUUCUCUCUUCUGAAAGAGAUUGUGGAGAACAGGUAUAAUUUCUCCCUUAAAUGUUGGGUAGAAUUCACCAGUGCACCCAGCUGGGCUUUGUGCUUUCCGUUCUAGAAGGUUAUUAAUUAUUGAUUGAGUUUCUCUAGUAGAUAUAGGCCUGUCCAAAUUGUCUCUUUCCUCUUGUGUGAGUUUUGGCAGAUUAGGUCUUUCAUGGAAAUGGCCGGUUUCAUCUAGGUUAUCAAAUUUGUAGGUCUAGGGUUGUUCAUAGUAGUCCCUUAUUAUCCUUUUAGUGUCCACGGGAUCUGCAGUGGCGUCCCCUCUUUCAUUCCUAAAGUUAGUAAUCUGUGUCCUCUCUCUUUUUUUCUUAGUUAAUCUGGCUAGAGGCUUAUCAGUUUUAUCUUUUCAAAGAAUCAACUUUUGGUUUAGUUGAUUUUCCCUAUUCAUUUAUCAUUUUCAAUUUCCUUGAGGUCUGGUC
ensembl:lncRNA